UACGUAGGUGGCGAGCGUUGUCCGGAUUUACUGGGCGUAAAGGGAGCGUAGGCGGAUUUUUAAGCGAGAUGUGAAAUACUCGGGCUCAACUUGAGUGCCGCAUUUCAAACUGGAAGUCUAGAGUGCAGGAGAGGAGAAUGGAAUUCCUAGUGUAGCGGUGAAAUGCGUAGAGAUUAGGAAGAACACCAGUGGCGAAGGCGAUUCUCUGGACUGUAACUGACGCUGAGGCUCGAAAGCGUGGGGAGCAAACAGG
rnacentral:rRNA from 1 species